UCAUUUUGACCAGCCUAGCGCAUGCUCAUUGCUUGCGUGGUCAAAUGGAAAUGAAAGCUGGCCUCCGUCUGGCGAAUACAAGGGAAGGGUGAAGAAUCGGUGGGGUGCCAUCACCCGUUGACCAAAGAUCAGUCCAAAACCGACGGCCAUCGGAAGCAUCGCCGCCGUCCCAUGGUUUUCGUUGCGAAACUGGUGAAUAAUUCCGCAUAAAUUGGCGUCGGUACUUGGUGCUGGUGUUGAAGUCGUUAAGCAUUUGGAGAGAACGAUGUGUUACGAGGCGAGGUGCUCGAACUGCGGGAAGACCACCUGGGGUGGCUGCGGGAGGCAUGUGGCGUCCGUCUACAAGCGGGUCCCGGAGGACCGACGCUGCCUCUGCCGCGGUUGGCCCGGAGUCGAGGCCGGCGAUCAGUCCUCCUCAGCCGCCGCCACGGGCGGCGAUGAGGGAAGCUCCAGCUGCGCUAUACUCUGAGGAUUUCUUUGAUUUCGUUUGAUGUCAUGUGUAAUAAUCAUCUUCUUCUGUAUCAGAUCUCACGGAACCCCUAGAAUAAACUGAUGCUCAUUUGUGAUCUCUCUCUCUCUCUCUCUCUACUGGUGGUGCGGGGCGGAGUGGGGUGGCAAAGCCUGCUAGAUCUGGGGUUUGCUGUGGCGGCCGCCGUACCCGGCGGUGCCCAUCGACUACGGCGACCGGUGGUCGUCUCUGCUCUAGUUGGGCUUAGGCCCAGAAAGGGCUAGUUUGUGUUGACCUUUUGUGAUUUGGGCUUUUUGGCAUCGAUUUCGAAAACUUGAGGACCAUUUGGAGAAAACGCCCUGCCCAUGAAGCCCUUGUGAUGAAAUAUGAAGGGCAAAAGUUAAGGGGAAAUGAUGGUCUGUGAAAUAAUCUGGUUUAUGAGAUUUUAAUUUAUUUGAUGUAAUUCCUAAAGUGUAGCUCGAUAUGCAAUGUUGUCCUUAAACUUUGAAUUUGUUCAAUGUAAUCUUUGGACUUUUAGUACAUGUUCAAUUUAAUUUAUUUAACUAUAUAAAAAUGUUCUAUACCGUUCUUAAUAUUGAAUUAAUGAAAGGAUAGCAUCGAACAUUUUUCAUAUAUUUUAAGGACUACAUUGAAUAUGUCAAAUUAUAAAUUGGGUUAAAGUUUAGAGAUUGCCUUGAACAAAUUAAAAAUUUAAGGAUCAUAUUGCAUAUUAAGCAAAUUCAUGAACUAUUUAUAUCAUUAUUCAAAAAAUUAAUUGAUAUAACGUGAAACAGAACAAGCAUCUAUCUAGGUUAAAAAAUGUGGCGAGCUGGUAAGCAUAUCCCCAUGGUGAUAUUCUUAAUCUUGCAAAGGCAAUUUUCCACCUAUCUAACAAACAAACAAAAAAAUUAGGAAGGGUCAUGAAACUCGUCUUCUUUUUGGUUUGUCUUUGCUCGGAUUUUGUCUGUCUCAAUAGGCUGGGACCCAAUCUUCACUCAAGCCAUCUUCUCAUCUCUUUCAUUGAAAUUCUUCUGGGUGAUUUUUACCAGCUAAAGUACAAGGAAAUUCCGACCAAAAUAGAAAAGUACAAGGAAGUAUGUUAUAUGACAAACACACCAUACAAUAGUAAUAACAUGAUAUAACUAACAAAUCAUCAUCGUCUGUCUGUUAUGAAUCGCAUCAUAUUUGUCAUCUUAUUUGUCGCAGUGUGUAUAUUUAUCUCACUUUUAAUUGAUCGAUUACAUCACAUCAUCAUUGUCACGUGUUCUAUAUAUUGGUAAAAUACAUUCUUUAAAAUUAUGGGAUUUCAUAAGGUAUUUCAAGCUCCUUGUCACGUGUCUUCGCAGUGGUUGGCGUAGUACUAUAAGGCUGAUUCCAGAGUGAUUUGAUAGCCCCUGAUCACUAGUUGAUUUUUCUUGGUUGUUUCACUGUGCUCACAUCCUGAGAUAAGAUCAUUGGACCGUUUUUUUGGCUAAUAUCGUGGUUGGGAGGUGAUGGCGGGCUCGCUCAAAAUGAUUGGGGGCCAACCAAUCCAAAUGGCAUACUUGAAUUUAUAACAAAAACAAUAGACCCAAAUCAAUAUAGGCACAUCACCUCAGGAAAAGGAAAGAAAAGGAACAACAUGAGAAGAACAUAGGUAAGUUGGCGACCUUAUUCUUCCGGCACCAAAAGACAACAGCACCAAACACCAUUACUUAAGUUGGGCUCGAACGACCGUCGUCCACAUGUUGACCUUUUGUGAUUUGGGCUUUU
rnacentral:lncRNA from 1 species